rnacentral:rRNA from 1 species
GGUUAAGUGACUAAGCGUACACGGUGGAUGCCUUGGCAGUCAGAGGCGAUGAAAGACGUAGUAACUUGCGAUAAGCCCAGAUUAGGUAGUAACAACCAUUUGAGUCUGGGAUUUCUGAAUGGGGAAACCCACUUACAUAAGUAAGUAUCGCUGCGUGAAUACAUAGCGCAG